AAACAAUGCAAAUCCUAAUAUAUGUGUGUAUUUCUUUGGAGUUUACAAGGGCUCCUGUCCUCUUAGGUUGCCAAAGAGGCAUAAAUAAUGCAAUGUGGAUGGACCUACAUGAGCUGUCUUGGCUGUGUUUCUGAAGUCAAGCACCCAGCCUGAAGCAGCAAAGUGUUAAUGUCCCUCCAGGGAGGCAGAUGCUCUGAACGAAGAGAAACAAUCGCCAUGAGAAGAAAGAAGAUCUCAGUUGGCCAGCUAACCAAGCAGUUAGUGGUUGGACCACCAGGGUCAAACAGAGACAGUGUCUGACCUGAAAGACUGGAACACUUGAACCACCAAUCACUUGGGUUACUCUCAAAUGUCUCUCCCCGGUUCCAGAGAACCAGUCUGAUGAGAACCAGUUAUCAGAGUAAGAUGAGAUCUAUUGGGGAGGUAUCCAGUGAGUUAUGAGAUUCUUCAGACAUAUUGAAGGUCUGAACGUCAUGGAAGCAGAAAUAGACUGGGGAAGAAAUAAAGAGGAGGGACCUUGGACCAUAUUCUGGUUCUAAGGAAGGUUUGGCCAGGGUGCAUCAUUUGGUCAUCCAUAGUAGUGUCUUGUGUCUUCCAAAUGGACCUGAAUUGAGGCCAUUGCCAUACCUGUCUGACUGAGAACAGGUCUCAGAAACCGUGG
rnacentral:lncRNA from 1 species